rnacentral:rRNA from 1 species
GGAUAAGAACUUUCAGAGAUGGAUUGGUGCCUUCGGGAACUGUGAGACAGGUGCUGCAUGGCUGUCGUCAGCUCGUGUUGUGAAAUGUUGGGUUAAGUCCCGCAACGAGCGCAACCCUUAUCCUUUGUUGCCAGCGGUCCGGCCGGGAACUCAAAGGAGACUGCCAGUGAUAAACUGGAGGAAGGUGGGGAUGACGUCAAGUCAUCAUGGCCCUUACGACCAGGGCUACACACGUGCUACAAUGGCGCAUACAAAGAGAAGCGACCUCGCGAGAGCAAGCGGACCUCAUAAAGUGCGUCGUAGUCCGGAUUGGAGUCUGCAACUCGACUCCAUGAAGUCGGAAUCGCUAGUAAUCGUGGAUCAGAAUGCCACGGUGAAUACGUUCCCGGGUCUUGUAACACACCGA